UUAUUUAAAAAUUAUUUUUUCUUUUAUUUUUAAUUUGUUCCAAUUAGUUAUACAUGACAGUAGAAUGCAUUUUGACACAUCGUACACAAAUGAAGCACAAGAUUUCCUUCCUCUGGUUGUACAUGGUACAGACUCACACCAGUAAAAUUCUUAAGCCUCAAAACAAAAAGACAAAUGCUUCAGGUAAUUGUGGGCAAAAGAUAUGGAUAGACAUUCUUUAAAAUAAUGAAUCUGAAUUAUCUUUCCUAUGUACAUAGAUGAACACCUCAUAGUGAAUCUCCACAUCAUGUACAUACAAAAGCCUGCCAUCCUAAUUAGAAUAAGGUAUACUUUAUGUUUUUAUAAAUAUGUCAUGGAUAUCUAAAAAGAACAAAUAAAAAAGUGAUUAACAUUGCUUGUUAUCAGUAAACAACAGGAAACUGCAAAUCAAAACCACAUAAGAUGCCAUUUCACAUCCACUACAAUGUCUAAAAUAAGAAAUGGAAACAGGAAGUGUUAGGAAAUAAGUGAAGUAAUUGGAACCUUCAUACAUUUUUGGUAAGAUUAUUAAAUGGUACAGCUAUUAUGGAAAACACUGACAGAAGUACUUUGUAAAGCAGCAAUUUCACUCCUGAGUAUACACUCAGAUGAAAUUGAAAAUUAGAGUUCACAAACAAGUUUCACACUAAUGUUCAUAACAGCAUCAUUCACAAUAGCCCAAAGGUAUAAAUAAUACAAAUGUCUAUCAACUGAUGAAAGGAUAACUAAAUUGUGGUAUGUCUAUACAAUGGAAUAUCAUUUGGCCAUAAACAUGAAGUACUGAUAUAUAUUUCACUUGAAAACAAAAUGCUAAAUGAUACAUUUUGCAUCACAAAAGACCACAUAUUACAUGUCUCCAUUUUUUAUAAUGUAUACAUUAUAUGCAAAGCUACAGAGACAGAAAAUGAAUUUUCUGAGUUUUGACAAUGGAGAUGGCUGCAUGUAUCAUUUAACAUGCUAAAAAUAUGAAAUUUUAAAUUUUAAGGAAUCAUAUAGUAUGUAAAAAUAUCUUAAUGAGGUUUUUAUUUUAAAAGAAAAAAGAAAUGGUAGUCCACAUAUUAAUUAUAAGAAAAAACCGAUGGAGGACAUCUGAACCAAGGAUGCUCUUGGCUUUUUUCACAAAUGGAUUUUUGAGGGAAUUGACAUUAACUCCAAAUGAUGUGCUAAUGAUCACAUCCAUGCUGUAGCUCCCCAAAAUUCUGAGUAGAGAAAAAAUGUAAAAUUUUAAUCUGUACUGCUUUACUCUCCUACUACACAUGCUGGAAUAAGUGGAACAGGAGGUCCUCACACUGUCAGAAAUAUCUGUUGAUCAAAUGACUAGUCCAUGCUCCUAUCAUAUGCCAUGAGGCAGCUGCCCCUGUGCCAGGGGAGUUAGGGACACUAGGGUAGUGAGCUCAAGGAUUUCAGUCACAGAGAGACAGAAACCCAUAAUCAGACAAAUUACAUCAGUGAGUGGAGUGUAGAUGAUAAAAGAUGAUUUAAGUAUAGAGCUUCAGCAGGACCAGGGUGUUAUAAUUGACUCCUGCUAGGGGAUCCAAGAUAGGUGACAUUGACCUAGGUCCUGCCUAAGCACAGUCUGUGCCCAGAGCUGAUUCCUCUCUACCACAUCACAUAAAAGCAACACCCUAUUCUGAGAGGCAGAAACAUUGUACCCCCUUCUCUGCACCCACUGCUACUGCUCCCGAGAGGUCUUGCACUCCAGGAUCUAAAUUGGCCCCAAAGACAAAAUCUUGCGAAAGGGAAUGAGUAAGAAUAUCCUCAGUUAAAAUAUUGAAAAUCUCCUCAAAAUGUACUUGGAUGAUCUCACAACUUGGUGAAAAUAUUCUCUUCAGAUUUUCCAUUACAGUAUCAGAGGUUGUACAUGGGUCAAAAUAACCCAUUUUACACAACAAAUGAUGUGGUAAUUGUAAUCCGUAUCCUUUCAGGACCCUAUCUCUGUGGAGAUUGGAGGAAGAAGGAAUAUUUUAUAUUUUUCAUUUUGCUGACAUUCUUAGUGCGACCAUGAAGAGAUUUUUUUGUUCCAUAGUCUGCAUUGUAUCUUUCUAUCCCUGAUUAAUAGGUACCAGAAACUUCCCCCCAACCAACAUUCCCUAUUCUCUACCCCCAACUUCUGAGUGAUCACAUUCUUCAUUGUAAAACAUGUGUUUUGACUUACAUAAUAUUCACAUUGAUGAUCAAGCAGAUAAACUAAUUCUGUUUUCUGUACACAGAUGUCCCAGCACCCUGCCUCAUCCUAGGAGCCUCUCCUCCUUGGGUGGCCCAUUGUGGUUGUGACUCCACACACUUGCUUUUGUCUGUUCAGGGGAGUAGCUCAACAGUGGUAAUUUCAGUUCCAUGGCAGGCUGCUGGAAGGUCUUAAAACAGCUCAGAACCCCAGAGCUGCCUGCUACUUACUCCUUCACAGUGACAGGCUUGCCUUUCUUCACUUCCUGGCUCAGGUACUUCACCAAUGCGUCUCCAUAUUGGUUAAUGAUGGGGAACAUCUAAGCACAAACACAACUCCACCCACAGUUAGAGGAGAACCGAGUCCUUGAGGCAGUGGUUUUCCCGGGAUUAUAAAGUAUGAGAUGUUUAUAAUGAAUCAAAUAAUAUCUCUUCUAGAUAUAAAGACAAAAGGUCAUUUGAAACUUUUCAUUAGUUCUUUUUAUUUAUCCAUAACAAUAAGUUUCAUUUUGACAUAAUUAUAAAAUCAUGGAAAAUAAUUUUGCACUUCUCUAAUUGCUUGACCUGUUGAACAUUUUUUCAUAUACUCAGUGAUCAUUUGUAUUUCUUCUUUUGAGAAGGGUCUGAUCAGUUCUUUUGCCCACUUAUUGAUUGGGUUAUUUGAUUUUUGGUAUUAAGCUUAUUGAGUUCUCUGUAUAUUGUGAAUAUUAACACCAUAAAUGAAGUGCAGGGGGAAAAGAUUUCAUCCACUUCUGAAGGUUCUCUCUUUAUGCUCUCAAUUGUUUCUUCUGAUGUGAAAGGAUAUUAGAUUAGAGAAAAUAGACAACAAUUAAAUUAUUGUUGUCUAUUAAAUUAAAUUAUUAAGUUCUUUCAAGUGCUUAAGAUGCAAGAGACAGUAUCAGUGGAGACUCAGCCCCGUGUGCUUUUUCCACUCAACAACAUGCCCUUUAUGGGCCAUGCUAGUUAGGCAGGAUAAUGUGGCCAGCUCUGCAGUUUUGAGGACUUGAUGAGAGAAGAUGAAGAAGGAGGAAGAGGCAAAGCCUCCUCCCAUUUGCUUGUGGCACACAAGAACUACAAUAAUACCUCUGGAACUGCUUUCAUCAAGCACUAUUAAGAAAAUGGCUACUGAAAUUAGCUGAUUUCAACCUAACAUAUUAUGAAGUACUAAAGGUCAUGGGAACACAGUGGUUUAAAAUGUACUGGAAGUCCAUUCUUCAAAGUCAAUUGAAUGAGGUAGGCAGAGAAAUCCCUGUGUACACUUCUAUUGAAAACUCCUAAUUGACAGGGUAAAAUAAAUGAAAUCCCCAAGACUUUACACUUGCAGACAGAGUUAAAAUAAAAGAAAGCAGAGGUCAAAUCAUUUCCCAAUCUGUUCAUCUCUGUCUCCACUUUUCAUUCAAAUGUACAUAAUAACCCCCAGAUUUAUAUAAAGGUUGCUUUUACUAAAGUGACAAUCUUGAAAGGAGAUUAAGCCAUGCAUGGUGCACAUUUUAGAAAGGUCUGACUUAAUGCCUCCCAUGCAGUAUUAAAGGCUCCUAAUAAAGAAAAAAAAUGGAAAAGGGGGUAGAGUCUGAGCACUUGAGAGAAGGUGAGGCCAAGAGUGUUUGGGUCAUCAGAGACUGAGAAAAGUCUGAAGUGUGACAUUCUUGGACAUAAACCUUGACACCUGGUGAAAUAUGGGACCCUUGGCAGGAGGAGGAGCCCCUAAAAGCUUUAUGAUAAUUAAUUAUCAGUAAUAGCUCUGGGCUGCAUUGUCCUCUUGCCUUGGAGUGCCCCAUCCAAGAAAUCGACCCAAGGGAAGUUUCCAAAACACUCACCCCCACAUUUUCCCAUACUUUUCAUGACAUUGGGGGUCAUAUUGCCAAAGACCAUGAGAGGAGAAACAAGAGAAUUUAUAUUGUUAUUUUGAAAAUAUUGAACCCUGCUUCUAAUUGAGGAACCAAUUAUUCCAAUCUCUUGAAAUCAGACUGGAAUAUGGUCCAUCACUGGCAUUUAGAGGGCAGCUCUUAUUCUAAGACAUCCAAAUGCAAAGAAGAGGAAAUAAAUGAGAUAUUUGAAAAGGGAAUUUAGAGUCCAUCUUGAAUUUUCUUUAAGUAUUGUACAUAUUGAAGAAAUUAUCCAUCUUUUUUUUGAGACAAGGUAUUGCCAUGUUUCCUAUAUUGCUCAAGCUGACCUUGAAUUUAUGAUUCUCCUGCCUCAGCCUCCAGAGUGGUUGGGACUACAGGUGUGUGGCACUGUUUGGCCAGUUGUCCUUGAGUAUGAAUAUGAAGCAAGCCUGGCUUUCUGUAUCAUUUUCUCAUGUGCAUGGACUGUUUCUGAAAUCCUGCCAACUUUGAAUCAUUCCCUCCACAUGGAUGUGAAAAAAGCCAAAGCUGAGAGAAAGUGAGUGAGUUUCCCAGGGACAUUCACAAGGAUACUUCACUCAUUUUUCCCCAGAUCUUUUUCAUUUCUCUCAUGAAUCUCCCUAGAAUACUUGGGAAAUUAGGAAGUUCAAGGCACCAGUCGCCUCUAACUUGACCAUGUUGAUAUGAUUAUUUUAGUUGGUUUUUUCACUACUGUGACACUGAUAAGAACCAUGUAGAAAAUUAAGAUUUACUGGGCCCACACGUGAGCUUCUGUGGGACAUUACAACCAUAACAGUGAUUCUCGUGCAUGUUGUGGAGUGAGAAAGAAUAAGUGAGGAUUGACAAAAUGGAGUCACCUUCCAGUUUUCCAGAUCAACGUGGAAAAGAUGGGGAGAUGCCACCCCUACCCAUGGGAGUCAAUAAAUUAAGUCCUUGCUCUAAGUUUUUGCUUCUAACACUUAAAAAGAUUUUUUUCUGUUGCUGUGUUUCAGGGAUGAUGUUUUCAUGAUGCACAGGGAGACCCCAAUUAUGGACCUUACAGGCUGUUUAGUAAACAGUUUAUCUGGGAAGUGUGAAGAUUAAAUGAUUGUUUUUCCAAAGAGAACAUAAUUAUGGAAUUCUCAAGUGGUCAUUAGGUCUCCAAAUUGUAGAAAUUGAAUCUAGUUAAGAAGCCUCUGUCUUUGGGAAAGAUAAUCUAAGCAGAGAGCAGCAUAUCCUCUGACCAUCUGGAUUAGAGUUCAUGAAUUUCUAUCCAGUAUUCAGGUCCUGAGUCAAAUACCUAACCAGGUUAAUCACCAAUGCAGCUACAAAUUCACAUUUCUUUUGGAACACUCCAUUCAAUUGACUUACAUUUUAAUAAUUUUUUUAAAUCAUCCAAUUUCUGUUCAUUUUAUAUCACUAAAUCUGACCUUGCUGAAAAACAAUACUUAUCUUGUGAUUAAUUAUGUGAAGUCCAUAGAUAAGAGCUGUCUUAUCUCUUUCAUAUUUUUUUCCCUUCUAAGACUCACAGAUAGGGUGUUAUCUUUGAAGGAUAAUAAAAAAUGCAGAUUGAUUUUGUUUCAUCUCUCCAAUCCUCUACAUGUACCUUUAGUAGUAAAACUUGGGUACUGACAUGGAAAUAAUCAUAGAUUUAGACAUUAAGAAAUUAUGUAUGUGCAAACAUGAAUAUGAAUACUUGCAUUGUUCAAGAAAUUGUAGUUUCAAAUAUAUCCAUGAACACUUUUUAAAAUAAAGCUACUCAUGAGAUCUAGUUAUGAAUAGAAAUGUUUGAAUGUGCUUGACAGCUUCUCUUUCACAGAUUUUUGCUCAAAUGUGCAAAGGCAAAUUAAACAUCCUCUUUAUGAUAUGUACAAGUCUGGAAAACAUCGUGAGCAUCAAACGCAGGUGAAUUAGGGAUCUGAGUAUUUCCACUGAGGCUCUUGAAGAGUUUACAACAGAUCCCCAAGGAAAAACUGGCCAUGCUCAGGGUGGAGCUUGCACACUGUUUCAAAAAUGAUGAGAGUUGGGAACUUUCUCCCAAAGAAGUGCAUUUUUACCAAUGACAUUAAUGUGGCAUUUUCUUUGCCAAAGAAAAAGAAGAAACACAACCAUACUCACCUUACAGAAGCAUUCCAAAGAAAUGCAGAGGUGUUGGCCCAGGAAUUCCCAGCUUCUCACAAAGCACAUGUGAAUAGGUUCCAUAUCUAUAAAGUGAGAGAGAAAGCCAGGUCACCAUGAUUGUCAUUCUAUAAAUAAGGGCCUGACAAGUCUCUGACUCAGAAACUGGACCAGACAAUGAGGGAGGUAACAUGUAGGUGAUAUAUAACAACAAAAACUCCAACAACGCAUUAACUCCUUCCCGACUCCAUUUAGAGAGCCCCCCCCUCACCCCAAAGGCACAAUGAUGAGCUAAGAUAAGUUGAGACUUCAUGCCCCAAUUCUUGGGUUCAUACUUGAACAUUCCCAGACUUGAGUGCUCCUGCAAGGUCCAGCCUGGCUUUCUGCCAGGCAUUUCAUUUGCAUGUCUCUUUGGUAUGUUGAC
rnacentral:lncRNA from 1 species